GAUGAACGCUGGCGGCGUGCCUAAUACAUGCAAGUCGAGCGAACAGACGAGGAGCUUGCUCCUCUGACGUUAGCGGCGGACGGGUGAGUAACACGUGGAUAACCUACCUAUAAGACUGGGAUAACUUCGGGAAACCGGAGCUAAUACCGGAUAAUAUAUUGAACCGCAUGGUUCAAUAGUGAAAGACGGUUUUGCUGUCACUUAUAGAUGGAUCUGCGCCGCAUUAGCUAGUUGGUAAGGUAACGGCUUAUCAAGGCAACGAUGCGUAGCCGACCUGAGAGAGUGAUCGGCCACACGGGAACUGGGACGCAGUCCAGACUCCUGCGAGAGGCAGCAGUAGGGUAUCUUACGCAGUGGGCGAGAGCCUGACAGAGCAGCGCCAAGUGAGAGAUGAAGGUCUUCGGAUCGUAAAACUCUGUUAUUAGGGAAGAACAAAUGUGUAAGUAACUAUGCACGGCUUGACGGUACCUAAUCAGAAAGCCACGGCUAACUACGUG
rnacentral:rRNA from 1 species